AGAGGAAGUAAAAGUCGUAACAAGGUUUCCGUAGGUGAACCUGCGGAAGGAUCAUUACCGAAUUGUCAAACGGGUUGUUGCUGGUCCUUGAAAGGGGACAUGUGCACGCUCUGUUUACACAUCCACUCACACCUGUGCACCCUCCGUAGUUCUAUGGUCUGGGAGACCUUGUCUUCCUGCCGUGGUUCUACGUCUUUACACACACACUGUAACAAAGUCUUAAGGAAUGUAUGCAGCGUCUAACGCAAUACAAUACAACUUUCAGCAACGGAUCUCUUGGCUCUCGCAUCGAUGAAGAACGCAGCGAAAUGCGAUAAGUAAUGUGAAUUGCAGAAUUCAGUGAAUCAUCGAAUCUUUGAACGCACCUUGCGCCCCUUGGCUAUUCCGAGGGGCAUGCCUGUUUGAGUAUCAUGAACACCUCAACUCUCAUGGUUCGCCGUGAUGAGCUUGGACUCUGGGGGAUUUGCUGGCCUGCGGUCAGCUCCCCUCAAAUGAAUCAGCCUCCCAGUGUUUGGUGGCAUCACGGGUGUGAUAAAUAUCUACGCUCGUGGUUGCCUGCCAGGUAACCUUUGGUGACAAAGGUUUGCUGGAGCUUACAGAUGUCUCUCCUCAGCGAGGACAGCUUUUUGGACGUUCGAUCUCAAAUCAGGUAGGACUACCCGCUGAACUUAAGCAUAUCAAUAAGCGGAGGAAA
rnacentral:rRNA from 1 species